UUGCAUUUGAAGCCCAUGAGGAUGAGAACCUCCGGGGGCGGGGAGGUUCGACUCGAGCGAAGCGAGAGAACGUUGCGCCAGCA
rnacentral:sRNA from 2 species